UACGUAGGGGGCAAGCGUUGUCCGGAAUCAUUGGGCGUAAAGAGCGUGUAGGCGGCCCGGUAAGUCCGCUGUGAAAGUCCAGGGCUCAACCCUGGGAUGCCGGUGGAUACUGUCGGGCUCGAGUCCGGAAGAGGAGUGUGGAAUUCCCGGUGUAGCGGUGAAAUGCGCAGAUAUCGGGAGGAACACCUAUGGCGAAGGCAGCUCGCUGGGACGUUACUGACGCUGAGACGCGAAAGCGUGGGGAGCAAACAGG
rnacentral:rRNA from 1 species